AGUACAACUUCGAAGAAGAGCAGAGUCGAUGUUGAAGGAAACGAGAGAGAGAGAGAGAGAGGCGUUCCAGGGCUCGGACUCGCGUGUUCUGUUUAGCGAGCUCGCUAUUUUGCGCACCAUGUUUCAGGCUCGCUAGAUUGCACGAGCGAGUGACGCAUUUUUUAUACUGUUGGACUAUAUAAUCUCGUUUAAAUUAGUCGCUCUCACCAAAUAUGGAUUUUAAGUGCUAAUUAACCCAGUCCAGUACAGUGAAAGGCUUACCAAACAUGCCCUUACAAUUUUAGGAUUCUCUCUGGCUCUGCUUUCAGUCUUUUCCCGAAAAUCACAAUCUUAGUCUCUUCUUGGAUCAGUUUCUGUGAGUCCCUCCCCUUUCUUUAACUUAACUGUUGGCUUUAACAUGCCUUUGGUUUUUUUGCAAUUUGGGCACCAAUUCGAAUUUGGUUGCCCUUUAAUUAUGUUGUAGUUACUCUAAUGUUUUUGAGAUAUGGUAUGAGAAAGCUCUUUAGAGAAAUGGGUUUGUUUUUGUUUUUGCUUUGGUGAAUGAUGUCGAAAGAAACAAUGGAACCAAUUGACAUGGAGAUAGAUGGAACCCAACAAUCUGCUGAUCCUCUUGUGGUGGAAGAAGCCACACAAGAGCUUGGCAGUGAGCCUUAUGAUGAUGAACAACCCAGUUAUGUCCCAGCAGAGCUUGUCAAACCUUGGUGUUCAAAUGAUGCUAGUGUAUUGUAUCAUUGCUACUUAAUUGAGAUGAAGCAGAAUUUUUGUUCUUAUAUUCCUGUUAACAAUGUUGUGCUUGGCCUGAGGAGCGAACUUAAUUGCGAUAUUGCAAAUAUGAAUUUUGAUUUGGUAGUUGACAAGGGUACUAUAACAGUGAACUUUAAAAAGGCCACCGAGAUUCAUCUUAGUCCAGAGCAAGUUCUUCAAUGCAGAAGGUUCCAAAUCACAAUUUUUCGAAUUCUAGUGGAUUGCAAUUUGCAAAAUUUGAAAGAAGUUUUAGAGAGACUUAGUUUGGGACAAAAUAUUGGGGUUGAAUCUAUUAAUUACCUUUUGCUCCCGGCAGCAAGAAUGCACCAGAAACCUUUGAUCAUUGAUUGGGAAUGCGUUAUGUCUGUGCCGUUUCGAUCUGAAGAAAAUUCUGAGUAUCACAUAGAUUGUUCUCCACCCAACAAUUGUUCCGGUGUUCUACAUACCAAAAAUGGAAUGGUUUGUACUUGCAGGGUCCAGAAUUCCUUGGUCUGUACCCCUCAUACUGGUCUCCUGGAUUGCAUCACUGGUUUGUUGGAUGACUUGAAUGGAAACUCACUUCUGAGACCUAGGGGCAGGAGAGCUCGUACCUACAAGACGCACUAUGAAGAAAAGCAUGGGAUCAAUUUGCGUGUUGAUCAACAGUUGUUGCUCAAGGGGAGACACAUUUUCAGGGUACAAAAUUAUCUUCUGAGUCGCAGGCAACAGAGAAAAAAAGAAUCAAAGCCUGUUGAAUUGCCGCCUGAACUUUGCUCUAUAGUCAUGUCACCUUUAUCAAUCAGCAAUUUAUAUUCAUUCUCAAUUGUUCCAUCCAUCAUGUAUCGUCUUGAAUCUUUACUUCUUGCUCUGAACUUGAAGAAUAUGAUUUUGGAUCGUUGCACAGAAAAUGUUACUAUUCCAACCAUUAAGGUCUUGGAAGCUAUUACAACAAAAGGAUGCCAAGAGAACUUCAAUUUGGAAUCCUUAGAGACUCUUGGAGAUUCAUUUCUUAAGUAUGCUACAAGUCAGCAACUUUUUAAAACCUAUCAAAAUAAUGCUGAAGGCCUUCUUAGUGGACAGAGGGAAAAAAUAGUUUCUAAUCCUGCCCUCUGCAAGUUCGGUUGUGACCGCAAACUCCCGGGCUUUAUUCGUAAUGAGUGUUUUGAUCCAAAAAAGUGGACUAUACCUGGAGAUUAUUCUGGAACUUCUUUCUUAAGUGAGGACUUGCCUUUUAAUGAAAGAAACAUCUACAUUAGGGGAAGAAGGAAGGUAACAGAUGAAACGGUUGCUGAUGUAGUUGAGGCACUAAUUGGUGCAUUUCUUAGCACAGGUGGUGAAAUAGCUGCCAUAUAUUUCAUGAAUUGGGUUGGUAUAAAGGUGGAUUUAGUCCAUAUACCUUAUAAGAGGCACUUCCAAGUGCAGCCAGAGAAGCUCAUUGAUGUCAGAUAUUUGAAGUCCCUGCUUAACUAUUCAUUUCAUGAUCCUUCUCUUCUACUGGAAGCACUAACCCAUAGUUCUUGCAUGCUUCCUAAGAUUCCAGGAUGUUAUGAGCGGCUAGAAUUUCUGGGUGAUGCAGUGUUGGAUUAUGUGAUCACUUUUUAUUUGUACAAUAAGUAUCGUGAUAUGUCAUCACCUGGAUUUAUAACUGAUAUGAGGUCUGCUUCUGUGAACAAUGAUUGUUAUGCACUAUCUGCUGUGAAAGCUGGAUUGCACAAACAUAUUCUUGCUUCGGACAAUGUCGACAAUGAUAUUGCCAAUACUGUUAACAAUUUUGGGAGGUUAUCUAUUGAAUCAACUUUUGGAUGGGAAAUCGAGACAUACUUCUCCGAGGUACUUGCAGAUAUUAUUGAAUCUCUAGCAGGAGCAAUUUUUGUUGAUUCUGAAUAUGAUAAGGAUAUCGUCUUUCAAAGUAUACGUCCUCUCUUAGAGCCCUUGGUUACUCCAGAAACAAUGCCGCUCAAUCAUAUAAGAGAGUUCAAGGACAUUUGCAAAAAAAUGCAGUAUAUUAUGAAGAAACCUGCCAUCUACACCCCAAAUGGUGUUGUUACCAGGACAAUAGAGGUUGAAGCUAAGGGGGUCGUCAUAUACAAACAUACAUCAACAGUUUCUAAUAACAAAACAGCAGAAAAAGUAGCUUGCAAAUUUUUUUGGGAAAUAGCCCAAAAUGCCACCAUUUUUAUAAUUGUAACUGAAAAUACCACCCUUUUUAAAAAAAUUUGGAACUAUCACCUAUAAAUAUAAAAUUAUUGUACCCUUAUUGCUGAUUUUUCACAAGUUCAGAAAUUUGUUCUCUCAGCUCACACAACUCUCUCUCUCUAGCACAACUCUCUUUCUCUCUGGUAUCUGUCUAUCACAGCUCUCUGGCUCUCUCUUGGCUCUCUCUCUCUCUCUAGCACAACUCUCUGUCUCUCUCUCCAGAUCAAUCAGAAUUCGGAUCAACCCCUCAUUGUCCGUCUCUUUCCACAAAACCACUCUCUAUUCGUGAAACCAACCGCGAAUCUCACAGAAGUUUCCUUCUUCAGCUCAAAAAGCAUACGCCAUGAUUUGAAUCACCAGGAAUUAAUCGGACCACCCCAACCAGAAUGACGUGGUUCAGUGGGAAAGUCUCUUUGGGGAACUUCCCCGAUCUCACCGGGGCCGUGAAUAAGCUCCAGGAGAGCGUCAAGAACAUCGAGAAGAACAAGCUGAUGAUAAUGAAGCUGAUGUUAAAGGGCAACAUCUGAGCUCAGGGGAAAAUGCGUCUGACUCUUCAGUGAUUGAAUUGGAGAAGGUGAAGAU